rnacentral:ncRNA from 1 species
GUCGGCUAAAGCAUGUCUCCCAAAAGCGGGAACCGGUUUGGGAUAAAGACGUGCGCGAAAACAAGGGCUUAAAGCGCAAAACGCUUUAAGCCCUUUCAAGAAUUCAAAGAAAAAGCCCGGUCUGACCGGGCUUUUUUUUCUCAGAG